CUUAUACUCCCUUCGUUCUAAAAUUUUUGUCUUACAUUAUCUAGAUAUGAAUGUAUCUAGUCAUGUUUUAGUAUUUAGAUACAUUCAUUUUUAAAUAAACUUAAGAAAAGAAUUAUAGGACGGAGGGAGUAUUUA
rfam:Hordeum vulgare subsp. vulgare, WGS project CAJW01000000 data, contig: morex_contig_2552350